GAAGGCGAAGAAAGCCAGAUUUGGCUAGAUGCACAGGAAAUGUAACCACUGGAAGUCGCAUAACGCAACAUAAAAUGAAAAGUAUAAGAAAUAACUAAUACCAAUAUCUAAUGCUCAUCAGAUUUUAUCAUAGGGCAAUCUGAAUUACAGAUUGAAAAAAUCAUGGCAACCCAUAAAUCUUGAAAGAAGUUGAAAAGAUGAGAGAAGGGAUGGGGGGCUAGAGAGCCCAGCCCAAAAGCUAAAUAGAUAUCUAUCCCAUUGCUAUCCAU
rnacentral:misc_RNA from 1 species